UUUCCGACCAAUCCCGCGGUCCUCCGCUCCCGACACAAACUACGUGGCUCGCCAUUCUUGCUCGCCUGCUCGCCGUCUUGGCUCUCCGGCGCUGCCCCCCGCCGCCUUCCUCGCCCCCCCGCCCCAUGCCGCCUUCCUCCCCCGAAUCACGCUCCGAUGCUGCCGGCUCGUCCCCCUCCUUGUUUCCCACCGUCUCAAGCUUCAAUUUUUGCCACAUCGCCGGUGGUUGAUCUGCGGGCAGGAUUGCGGGCGGCGGCCUGGAGCGGCAGUACGCAAGCUCUGACUCCAUCCCAAGCCAGCCGGCACACCCGCCGAGGAGCUCUGCCAGCCGCUGCCCUAGCGCCCGCGGCCGUCAACGCGUGGUCGGGCGCCGCGUCGAUGUUGUCGCUGCUCGGCGCCGCCGUCGCCGACUCAUGGCUCGGGCGGUACCGCACCAUCGCCGCCUCCUCCGUACUCUACAUCACGUGGCACAAAGCCGAGCUACCUUGGCGUGCAGAAGAGGCCCCCCACCCUUGCCUUGUGCCCGACAACCAACAACUGCGUGCCGACGUCCGAGAGGAUAAGCAAUUCCAAUCACUACGCUCACCCAUGAAGAAGAAAGGUAAAUUUCAGCAUUCUAGAUUGCUUGCUAGGGGAGCUACCUCUGCUGCUGGGAGACUGGUUGCUGAAAAUGGGACUCUGAAGGCUAUUUGGCCUCACAGUGGCCACGACCGCCCCACAGAGGAGAAGUUCCAGGAGUUUAAAAGCUUCCUCAAUGACAACUUGGUUGAUAUCACUGAUGUUAAGAUGAGCCCAGCAGAGGAGGAUGAGGAAUUCUGGGGCAGCCUCAAAAGGAUCGGUUCGGAGAACGACAAAUCUGAAGAUGGCCCUGCUGCACCUGAAGAAACUGGCUCUCUUCAGACAACUCAAGUCGUUCAAACAACAUCUACAGAAACAGAAAAACGCGAGCAACCAGUGGUGGCGCGCGAGAAGAUCCUUCAGAGGAGAUGGUUGUAGCAGCUGCACCCCUGUGGUAGCAUCAGCAUCUACAGAAGAACCAGUGGUAGCAUCAGCACCAACAUCAACAUCUACAGAUCCUUCAGAGGAUCAACAUCUACAGAAGAACCAGUGGUAGCAGCUGCACCCCUGUGGCCACGAACCUGGCCGUGGAGAUGCAGGGACGCCUGCCCAUGCUACAGCAACGAGGAGGGGAAGAUGGAACCGCGGCGGAAGAUGGAGCCGCGGCGCCUGAGCCUGGCAGCGGCGGAAGAUGGAGCCGCGACGCCUAAGCCUGGCAGCGGCGGAAGAUGGAGCCGCGGCGCCUGAGCCUGGCAGCAGUGGAAGAUGGAGCCUCGGCGCCUGAGCCUGGCGGCGGCGGAGACGGAGCUCGAUGUGCUGGAGUCACCGGCGCUAUCUUGCUGCCGGAGAUGGAGCUCGAGGUACUCGGAGGUGGGGAGCUCGAGGUGCUGGGUGCGGGAGCUCGAGGAGCUGACGCCGGCGACGGGAUCCUAGUGCUGGGGAUGGAGCUCGAGGUUCUGGCAGGCGGGAGAUUGAGACAUCCACUACAUGUUUGGUAAUGACGUGAUGUUGAGGCGGCUAGGAGAAGCUCAGCAGCCAGAUCAAGGGCUAUCGAGAUGGACCUGGGAGCCAAGCAGUAGUUCUUCUGUUAAAUUUUGCUUGUUGGCGUAGAUGCGUGGCACUGCGGCAACUAAUCAAGAGCGAGGGCAGUGCACAUCAGAGCUACGCUGAAUGUAGCGAGUCAACCACGAAUUGGGUAUGUUCACACGAGGGAUGGGAGAGGAGAAGAACAUUAACAUUUUUCAUGAUUUGGAUGAAAAUUUCAGUUCAUAGUUUCUCCGUACGUGGCAACACACUAGCGGUACUCAUGGGCUUAGGAUGAAAGUAGCGCCAGCAGAAUCAGUAGGUUGGAUGGGAAGGCGGUUGUUGCCCUUGUCCCUUGGUGCUAGCCUACCGUGGCGGCCUCACUAACUUGCUCAUUGUGAAUACGAGUUUGUGGGGUCGCGAGUUGCUGCAGAUUUGUUUUUAUCACUUUUUAUAAUAUUUAUUGAUGUAUCCCUAACUCAUCAAGUCAUUUUUAGCUUUGAUUUCCCAUA